rnacentral:lncRNA from 1 species
GUUGUUGUUGUUGUUGUUGUUGUUGUUGUUGUCGUUGUCUUUGUUGUCGGUGUUGUUGUUGUCAUUGUUGUUGUUGUUGUUGUCGCAGUCAUCGUCGUGAUUGUCAUUGAUGUCGUUGUUGUUGUUGUCGUUCAUGUGGUUGUUGUCAUUGUUGUCGCUGUUGUCGUUGUUGUUGUUGUUGUUGUUGUUGUUGUUUAUGCCGUUGUUGUCGUUGUUGUCGCUGUUGUCGUAGUUGAUCUUAUUAUCGUUGUUGUCAUUGUUCUCGUGAUUGUAAUUUUUGUCGUCAUUUCUCUCUCUCUCUCCCCUCCCCCUCUCCCUCUCCCUCUCCCUCUCCCUCCCUCCCUCUCCCUCUCCCUCUCCCUCCCUCUCCCUCUCCCUUCCCCUCUCCGUCUCCCCCCUCCCUCUCCCUCUACCUCUACCUCUCCCUCUCCCUCUCCCUCUCUCCCUCUCCCUCUCCC